rnacentral:rRNA from 1 species
AUUGCACGCUGUCGGCAGGCCUCACACAUGCAAGUCGAACGAGUGGCGGACGGGUGAGUAAUGUCUGGGAAACUGCCUGAUGUAGGGGGAUAACUACUGGAAACGGUAGCUAAUACCGCAUACCAUCAGAUCAGCACAGGUGGGAUUAUCUAGUUGGGGGGGUAAAGGCGCACCAAGGCGACGAUCCCUCUCUUGUCUGAGAGGAUGACCAGCAACACUGGAACUGAGACACGGUCCAGACUCCUACGUGAGGCAGCAGUGGGUAAUAUUGCACAAGGGGCGCAAGCCUGAUGCAGCCAUGCCGCGUGUAUGAAGAAGGCCUUCGGGUUGGAAAGUACUUUCAGCGGGGAGGCGUUACCCGCAGAAGAAGCACCGGCUAACUCCGUGCCAGCAGCCGCGGUAAUAC